GGUACAUGUAUGUACCUUUUUGAGGGUCAAAAAGGUACAUAUUUGUUCCCAAGCAUUAAAAAGUAUAUUUUUGUACCAUUUCUUUUAAAGGAUAAGGUACAAUGCUAAGAGAUAGCCUCUUGCCAUUUUUUUAUUUGUUGUUCUAGACAACUGCUGUAAAUCUGGUCAAUAAAGUAAGUAACCAUUGUGUCAAUUUUGUUUCCUUUAGUUGGGCACAUGGGUCUUGAAGUAGUGUUAGUUUUCUUCUGUUCAUUGACAAUGUGUUUAAUUUAAAUUUUUAAUUUUAAAUUUGAAUGAAAAAAAGUUAAUUUCAAUUCAUAAAAACUGUGCUGUGAACUCAAAAACUGAAAUUGAUUAACCAUUACUUACAAACUGAAUAAAUACUGAAUAACUAAAUCCCUCACACACAACGGAAAAAACGCGCUUUUAUUUUGACACGCGCCCAUCCCCCCACAUCUCACGGUCCGACUGGAGUCGAGUUUCACAGAGCAACGCAACAGGAGGACGACACGACAGUUAUAAAGAGCAUUAACAGUAAGGACUAACAUUAACUGACUGUCUGUCUGUUCUCAACCAAAGUCAUUCAAGACCUGUUAAAGUUAACCACAAACGUUUCCCGCGCAAGUUUGAAUCUCUCUCAGUCAGGGGAGAUUGACUGACUGUCUACACGCCACCAAACAGUAAUUUACACAGAAACCUUUUAAAG